rnacentral:rRNA from 1 species
GACGAACGCUGGCGGCGUGCUUAACACAUGCAAGUCGAACGGUGAUGGGUGGAGCUUGCUCUGCUUUGAUCAGUGGCGAACGGGUGAGUAACACGUGAGUAACCUGCCCCAGACUCUGGAAUAACCCCGGGAAACCGGUGCUAAUACCGGAUACGACACAGAAUCGCAUGGUUUCUGUGUGGAAAGUUUUUCGGUUUGGGAUGGACUCGCGGCCUAUCAGCUUGUUGGUGAGGUAAUGGCUCACCAAGGCGACGACGGGUAGCCGGCCUGAGAGGGCGACCGGCCACACUGGGACUGAGACACGGCCCAGACUCCUACGGGAGGCAGCAGUGGGGAAUAUUGCACAAUGGGCGCAAGCCUGAUGCAGCGACGCCGCGUGAGGGAUGGAGGCCUUCGGGUUGUAAACCUCUUUCAGCUCUGAAGAAGCGAAAGUGACGGUAGGAGCAGAAGAAGCACCGGCUAACUACGUGCCAGCCGCCGCAGUAAUAC